rnacentral:rRNA from 1 species
CGGGAUGAACCCGCGGCCUAUCAGCUUGUUGGUGGGGUAGUGGCCCACCAAGGCGACGACGGGUAGCCGGCCUGAGAGGGUGACCGGCCACACUGGGACUGAGACACGGCCCAGACUCCUACGGGAGGCAGCAGUGGGGAAUAUUGCACAAUGGGCGCAAGCCUGAUGCAGCGACGCCGCGUGGGGGAUGACGGCCUUCGGGUUGUAAACCUCUUUCGCCAGGGACGAAGCGMRAGUGACGGUACCUGGAUAAGAAGCACCGGCUAACUACGUGCCAGCAGCCGCGGUAAUACGUAGGGUGCGAGCGUUGUCCGGAAUUAUUGGGCGUAAAGAGCUCGUAGGCGGUUUGUCGCGUCGGCCGUGAAAUCUCCACGCUUAACGUGGAGCGUGCGGUCGAUACGGGCAGACUUGAGUUCGGCAGGGGAGACUGGAAUUCCUGGUGUAGCGGUGAAAUGCGCAGAUAUCAGGAGGAACACCGGUGGCGAAGGCGGGUCUCUGGGCCGAUACUGACGCUGAGGAGCGAAAGCGUGGGGAGCGAACAGGAUUAGAUACCCUGGUAGUCCACGCUGUAAACGUUGGGCGCUAGGUGUGGGCGACAUUCCACGUUGUCCGUGCCGUAGCUAACGCAUUAAGCG